AUCCUUUUGUAGUUCAUAAGCCUGAUGAUUGGGUUUUCAUGCGCAUGCGUGAGACGCACGGCCCACACAUCUUGUUAUGACGUCUGUACAUUACCGGUCUGACG